rnacentral:lncRNA from 1 species
ACUCAGGUGAUGUUGGUGCAGCUAAUCCACAGACCACACUUUGAGCAGCAAAGAUUUAAGUAGUGAUUUAUCUAAUUGUUUGGUUAUGACUGUGACUGUAGAGUCUAUGAGCUCUUAGUCCUGACUGGUCAUGGUUGUCUUUUAAUGAUGAUCUAGAAGCCUAUGAGAGAGGAGUUGUCCAAUAUUAUUUUAUAUGUGUUUCUUCCCACAAACUCUCUUGAAAUCUGAAGGAUUAUAUAAUGCAUCAUAGGAAGAACUGUAAUGUGUAAUCCAUAAUCUAAAGUCUAAUCCAUAAUCCCACCGACUCUCCAGGUUUCCCUUUAGGGAAGGUAUUUAGUGAGAUCCAGGUGCUCGCCAUGAUCAACAACAGGUUGCCGUGGGAGCAUUCGCUGCACCGUUACUCAUCCGGUUAUGAGGUUUAACCUACCGACCAAUGUUGCCCGUACUGUCAUUUCAGUCAAACUUUGUGUGGAAGAGUAAAACUUAUUCCUGUCCUGGGAAAUGAAGUAAAAUGGAAUCCAGGAGUAAUUCUGACUAAAAGUCUGAGUUUACGAACUUCCAGUGCUGCAAAACUGACAAUCUGUGAGUUAAUCUUUAUUCUGCACCUUCAUACUUUCAGCCUUUCAUGAACUAGAUCGCUGUGCACAAAAAGUGUAUCAGCUAGCUCUGUCCAUCUGGAGAAGAAAAAAUUCCAGCUGCACUUCCUUCGUAGCGUGAUCCUUAUGAAUCUUAAUGUGGCUGAAGUUCCCACUCAGAUUUUGCUCCUGGAGCGUUUAAAUUCAACACUACUAUUUGAAGAUUAAACCACAGUG